CUGUGUGUUGUUGGGUAGGGGAGCGUUCUGUAAGCCUGUGAAGGUGUGUCGUGAGGCAUGCUGGAGGUAUCAGAAGUGCGAAUGCUGACAUAAGUAACGAUAAAGCGGGUGAAAAGCCCGCUCGCCGGAAGACCAAGGGUUCCUGUCCAACGUUAAUCGGGGCAGGGUGAGUCGACCCCUAAGGCGAGGCCGAAAGGCGUAGUCGAUGGGAAACGGGUUAAUAUUCCCGUACUUGGUGUUACUGCGAAGGGGGGACGGAGAAGGCUAUGUUGGCCGGGCGACGGUUGUCCCGGUUUAAGCGUGUAGGUGUGUGUUCCAGGUAAAUCCGGUUCACUUUAACACUGAGGCGUGACGACGAGGCACUACGGUGCUGAAGCAACAAAUGCCCUGCUUCCAGGAAAAGCCUCUAAGCAUCAGGUAACAUCAAAUCGUACCCCAAACCGACACAGGUGGUCAGGUAGAGAAUACCAAGGCGCUUGAGAGAACUCGGGUGAAGGAACUAGGCAAAAUGGUGCCGUAACUUCGGGAGAAGGCACGCUGACACGUAGGUGAAGUGAUUUACUCAUGGAGCUGAAGUCAGUCGAAGAUACCAGCUGGCUGCAACUGUUUAUUAAAAACACAGCACUGUGCAAACACGAAAGUGGACGUAUACGGUGUGACGCCUGCCCGGUGCCGGAAGGUUAAUUGAUGGGGUCAGCGCAAGCGAAGCUCCUGAUCGAAGCCCCGGUAAACGGCGGCCGUAACUAUAACGGUCCUAAGGUAGCGAAAUUCCUUGUCGGGUAAGUUCCGACCUGCACGAAUGGCGUAAUGAUGGCCAGGCUGUCUCCACCCGAGACUCAGUGAAAUUGAACUCGCUGUGAAGAUGCAGUGUACCCGCGGCAAGACGGAAAGACCCCGUGAACCUUUACUAUAGCUUGACACUGAACAUUGAGCCUUGAUGUGUAGGAUAGGUGGGAGGCUUUGAAGUGUGGACGCCAGUCUGCAUGGAGCCGACCUUGAAAUACCACCCUUUAAUGUUUGAUGUUCUAACGUGGACCCGUUACCCGGGUUGCGGACAGUGUCUGGUGGGUAGUUUGACUGGGGCGGUCUCCUCCUAAAGAGUAACGGAGGAGCACGAAGGUUGGCUAAUCCUGGUCGGACAUCAGGAGGUUAGUGCAAUGGCAUAAGCCAGCUUGACUGCGAGCGUGACGGCGCGAGCAGGUGCGAAAGCAGGUCAUAGUGAUCCGGUGGUUCUGAAUGGAAGGGCCAUCGCUCAACGGAUAAAAGGUACUCCGGGGAUAACAGGCUGAUACCGCCCAAGAGUUCAUAUCGACGGCGGUGUUUGGCACCUCGAUGUCGGCUCAUCACAUCCUGGGGCUGAAGUAGGUCCCAAGGGUAUGGCUGUUCGCCAUUUAAAGUGGUACGCGAGCUGGGUUUAGAACGUCGUGAGACAGUUCGGUCCCUAUCUGCCGUGGGCGCUGGAGAACUGAGGGGGGCUGCUCCUAGUACGAGAGGACCGGAGUGGACGCAUCACUGGUGUUCGGGUUGUCAUGCCAAUGGCACUGCCCGGUAGCUAAAUGCGGAAGAGAUAAGUGCUGAAAGCAUCUAAGCACGAAACUUGCCCCGAGAUGAGUUCUCCCUGAGACUUAGAGUCUCCUGAAGGAACGUUGAAGACGACGACGUUGAUAGGCCGGGUGUGUAAGCGCAGCGAUGCGUUGAGCUAACCGGUACUAAUGAACCGUGAGGCUUAACCUUACAACGCCG
rnacentral:rRNA from 1 species